ACGCACGCUGGCGGCGUGCUUAACACAUGCCAGUCGAACGGAAAGGCCCUGCUUUUGUGGGGUUCUCGAGUGGCGAACGGGUGAGUAACACGUGAGUAACCUGCCCUUGACUUUGGGAUAACUUCAGGAAACUGGGGCUAAUACCGGAUAUGAGCUCCUGCUGCAUGGUGGGGGUUGGAAAGUUUCGGCGGUUGGGGAUGGACUCGCGGCUUAUCAGCUUGUUGGUGGGGUAGUGGCUUACCAAGGCUUUGACGGGUAGCCGGCCUGAGAGGGUGACCGGCCACAUUGGGACUGAGAUACGGCCCAGACUCCUACGGGAGGCAGCAGUGGGGAAUAUUGCACAAUGGGCGGAAGCCUGAUGCAGCAACGCCGCGUGCGGGAUGACGGCCUUCGGGUUGUAAACCGCUUUCGCCUGUGACGAAGCGUGAGUGACGGUAAUGGGUAAAGAAGCACCGGCUAACUACGUG
rnacentral:rRNA from 1 species